GCCAUGGGUACCAGGCUCCUCUGCUGGGUGGCCCUCUGUCUCCUGGGGGAAGAACUCACAGAAGCUGGAGUGGCCCAGUCUCCUAGAUAUAAGAUUAUAGAGAAAAAACAGCCUGUGGCUUUUUGGUGCAAUCCUAUUUCUGGCCACAAUACCCUUUACUGGUACCGGCAGAACUUGGGACAGGGCCCGGAGCUUCUGAUUCGGUAUGAGAAUGAGGAAGCAGUAGACGAUUCACAGUUGCCUAAGGAUCGAUUUUCUGCAGAAAGGCUCAAAGGAGUAGACUCCACUCUCAAGAUCCAGCCUGCAGAGCUUGGGGACUCAGCCAUGUAUCUCUGUGCCAGCAGCUUAGCCACAGCGUAGCAGAGACACUUCCCUCCUGUGCAGAAAACUGCAGGACUCUCUCCUCUCUACUCAGCUCACAGCAGCCUUUCCUUAUUCCUCAUCCUCCCAGGGAAGAAGUGA